GUCUCAGAGGUUUAAGGAGCCCAGUUUUAUUCUAUAUCCUCCUCCCUGAUAUAAAAAGAUGUUUCUCCCUGUGGGCUUCAGCCUUUUGCUUUUCUACAAGGGUGUGCUGUGUAACCAAGUGACCCAGAGUUCCCCGGAGCAGAGAGUGGCGAGUGGCAGUGAGGUGACACUGCUCUGCACUUUCCAAACCAUAUAUUCAAAUCCAGACUUGUACUGGUACCGAAUAAGACCAGAUGGUGUCUUCCAGUUUGUCCUGUAUCGGGACAACGCUAAAUCCCAUGAUGCAGAUUUUGCUCAGGGUAGAUUUUCCGUGCAGCAUAGUGUGAGCCACAAAACCUUCCACUUGGUGAUCUCCUCCGUGAGGCUUGAAGACACCGCCACUUACUACUGUGCUUUAGAGCUCCCACAGUGAUGCAGGCACCCAGGAA